GCGGCCGCCGGCAACUGGCUCACGGCCUGGAGGACGUCCGUGGCGGCCAAGGCGGCCCGCCGGCCCGUCAUCGACAACGACCUGGCCCAGCAGGCCGACGUCUCCGGGCCAGCCUCCGUGCCAGUCGCCGCGCCGGACCCCACCAAGCUCUCCGGCGCCCCACUGGUGUCGCACCUCCGCAAGCUGUACCGGAAGGAAGCCAGUCCACCGAGCCGCCUACAGCUGCAGGGCCUGCAGGACCCGGCCCGGCCCGCCAAGCCCUCCAAGCGCGCCAAGGCGACCGCCAAGACCAAGACCUCCACGACGACGAGGAGGCCGACCGCGGCCCCGGACGACCUGAGCGACGUCGCCCUGGACUAGACGAAGCCGCCCCGCCCGGAGGAGGCGGAGGGGUCGCCGUAGCCAACAUAGUGUAGUGCAACAAGUGUGGGCCGAUGGCCGCGAACCGACCGCGAGGACAGCAUUGGACUGCAGCGGUGUGCAGAGUGCCGGUCCCGGACUUAACUUAUUUCCUGUAGCAUACUGAGGCGGAGUGAAUAAAAUAGCGUAAGACAUUCAAUAAAGUGAAUACUGUGUCA